AAAGAUAGCCAGCUGCCACCAUUCAUAAAGGCAAAGUGCUGCUGCUGGAUGUUCAAGACUGAUGGCUACAGCCAGUAGAGAGACACAGUCAGAGAUCUGAAGUCCAGUUGCCUGUCUACACUAGAAGACCUGCAUUUUUAUUUAAAACUCACAAAAUUCAGUCAUUUUUAAGUUUAAUACCUUCUCAGUUCUCAAUGUUGACUCCAGGAAGGUCAGUGUUAGUUGGACAUGUAACAAAACUGCAUGUGUCUCCCAUCCUUUUUGUCUGUUUUUCUUCUUCAGAGCAGACUCUUCUCAAGGAGUCUUCAAUGAGUCUUUCUUGGUUCAAAAUGGACUGGAAAACAAGAUCAGAUAAAGGGCCUCUUUUCCUAUUGCCCAAGCUGUAAGAUUUUCUUUCCAUAACGGUCUCAGGCAACGAUCUGCCGGUUCUCUCUCCCAUGACAUUCUCCACCAUUUCUCCAACCAUUAGGGAUGCAUCCACCAUUUUGGCCUUUGCUCUUCAUCUCUUCCUUCCAUGAUAGAAUGGUGCUCAGAGAAACAUAGUCCCUUAUGUAUUCUUUGCGUCUCUCCUCUAAGGUCAUCUUCAGCAAACAUUCUUUCUUUGCUCUCCACACCUUUUUCUUCUUGUUGCUGGGGUACAUGCUGCCGUGGGGGUGGCUGGCUUUAAGCUGCAAGUUCCCCAGGCUCAUGGGCAAACAGGAUGUGUGGAGUGUGGGGGAUGGAUGGAGGGGACACUCGGGAGGGAAAAGUGCAAAGGCUCUAUAUCCAGUGCAGCUAGCCGCUGGUCCGUCGCUGCCCUCCUCCCUUGACCCGCCCACUCUGCCCGGCAGCUACAGCAGCACCUCAGGGCCUGUCAAUUAGGUUACGCCUCUUCUGUUCCUUUAUCGAGACACUUUAAAACAACCUAUCUACAUUUUAACUGCUUUGUGGAUUUUGCUCCUUUAAACAAUGAUAGAAUCUUUAAUUUUUGAUCAUAGAAAAGAAAGGUGUAUAGUUUUAUUUUAUUUUCAAUUAUUUUGUUUUUUUGAGAUAAGAGCUCCCAAUGUAACCCUAGCCAUCCUGCAAUUUUCUAUGUUGACCAAGCCAGCCUCAAACUCAUCAAGAUUCACUUGCUUCUGCCUCCUGAAUGCUGGAAUUUAAAGGUAUGCAUCACCAGAUCUGGCUGUAAGAAAAAAAAAGUAUGUUUUAUGUUUAUGUGUUUUGCCUACAUGUAUCUCUGUGUACUACAUGUGUGUCUUGUGCCUGUCAAGACCAGAAGAGGGUGUUAGAUCCCCUGGGACUGGAGUGACAGACAGACGAGAGCUGCCCUAUGGUUGCAGGGAACUGAACCUGGAUCCUCUGGAAGAGCCACCAGCACUCUUAACCACUGAACCAUCCUUUCCUGUCCCAGGAGGCUCUUCCUGGGUUUCUGCUCCCUGCACUGCAGCCUGGAGAUCAUCCGCAGAGCACGCUGUUGGAAGGAUGAGCACUCAUCCACAGAAGUAGCCAGAGCAGCCUUGCUAGAGGAACGCCCACCCUCUGUCCACAACAGUCUGCUCAUAGGCCUGCUGAGUAAACACAAGGUGGCUGCAGAAAGGUUGGAUUGAUAGCCUAGAACAGUUUACUCAUCCUGCAGACUUCUAAUAGCCUUGUCUGUAAUUACUGACUUCUGCUUAGUACUGAUAAUGGAAAUAAAUAACUUUACCCUCUG
rnacentral:lncRNA from 1 species